AGAGGUUUGGAUGUGGGGGUUUGCUGGCCUCUUUUAAAAGGCUCAGCUCCUCUGAAAUGCAUUAGCAGAACAAACCUGUUCAUUGGUGUGAUAACUAUCUACGCUAUUGAAUGUAAGGGGCAGUUCAGCUCUCUAAUGGUCCUCGGACAAUUCAUCAUUAAUGUGACCUCAAAUCAGGUAGGACUACCCGCUGAACUUAA
rnacentral:misc_RNA from 1 species